rnacentral:rRNA from 1 species
CGGAGGGUCCAAGCGUUAUCCGGAAUCAUUGGGUUUAAAGGGUCCGUAGGCGGAUCUGUAAGUCAGUGGUGAAAUCUCCCCACUUAACGGGGAAACUGCCAUUGAUACUGCAGAUCUUGAAUUAUUGGGAAGUAACUAGAAUAUGUAGUGUAGCGGUGAAAUGCUUAGAGAUUACAUGGAAUACCGAUUGCGAAGGCAGGUUACUACCAAUACAUCGACGCUGAUGGACGAAAGCGUGGGUAGCGAACAGGAUUAGAUACCCUGGUAGUCCACGCCGUAAACGAUGGAUACUAGCUGUUGGGCGCAAGCUCAGUGGCUAAGCGAAAGUGAUAAGUAUCCCACCUGGGGAGUACGGGCGCAAGCCUG